AGUGAACGCUGGCGGCGUGCCUAAUACAUGCAAGUCGAACGGAGUGGCGCACGGGUGAGUAAUAUAUAGCUAAUCUGCCCUUUGCUGGAGGACAACAGUUAGAAAUGACUGCUAAUACUCCAUAGCAAGGGAUGAGACUAUACCGUAUCAGCUAGUCGGUGGGGUAACGGCCUACCGAGGCUAUGACGGGUAACUGGUCUGAGAGGAUGAUCAGUCACAUUGUAACGGAGGCACGGUUCAAACUCCUGCGGGAAGCAGCGGUAGGGUGUCUUGCGCAAUGGGGGUAACCCUGACACAGCAACGGCGCGUGGAGGAUUACUCUUUGCGGAGAAUAAACUCCUUUUGUAAGGGAAGCGGUACCUAACGAAUAAGCACCGGCUAACUCCGUGCCAGCCGCCGCGGUAAUUC
rnacentral:rRNA from 1 species